rnacentral:rRNA from 1 species
GUGGGGAAUAUUGGACAAUGGGCGCAAGCCUGAUCCAGCAAUGCCGCGUGGGUGAAGAAGGCCUUCGGGUUAUAAAGCCCUUUUGUACGGGAAGAAAUCAUUAGGGUUAAUACCCUGGGUGGAUGACGGUACCGUAAGAAUAAGCACCGGCUAACUUCGUGCCAGCAGCCGCGGUAAUACGAAGGGUGCAAGCGUUAAUCGGAAUUACUGGGCGUAAAGCGUGCGUAGGUGGUUGUUCAAGUCUGUCGUGAAAGCCCUGGGCUCAACCUGGGAAUGGCGAUGGAAACUGGGCGACUAGAGUGCGGUAGAGGAUGGCGGAAUUCCCGGUGUAGCGGUGAAAUGCGUAGAGAUCGGGAGGAACAUCCGUGGCGAAGGCGGCCAUCUGGACCAGCACUGACACUGAGGCACGAAAGCGUGGGGAGCAAACAGGAUUAGAUACCCGUGUAGUCC